UGAGGAACCUGCCCCGAAGACCGGGAUAACCCUCCGAAAGGAGAGCUAAUACCGGAUACCCCCACCGGAUCGCAUGAUCUGGUGAGGAAAUGGAUUCCGCUUCGGGAGGGCCUCGCGGCCUAUCAGCUAGUUGGUGGGGUAACGGCCCACCAAGGCUUCGACGGGUAACUGGUCUGAGAGGACGAUCAGCCACACUGGGACUGAGACACGGCCCAGACUCCUACGGGAGGCAGCAG
rnacentral:rRNA from 1 species